AUUCAUAUAGUUUAUUAAAAACCCUUCAUUUUCAAUGAAGAAAUGAAUUCUAUUCUAUGAAUA
rnacentral:tRNA from 1 species